rnacentral:rRNA from 1 species
UGUGUAGGUGGCAAGGUAAGUUUGAUGUGAAAUCUCCGGGCUCAACCCGGAAAUUGCAUUGAAUACUAUCUAGCUAGAGGAUCGGAGGGGAGACUGGAAUUCUCGGUGUAGCAGUGAAAUGCGUAGAUAUCGAGAGGAACACCGGUGGCGAAGGCGAGUCUCUGGACGAUUCCUGACACUGAGGCACGAAAGCCAGGGGAGCAAACA